rnacentral:rRNA from 1 species
UGGGGAAUAUUGCACAAUGGGCGAAAGCCUGAUGCAGCGACGCCGCGUGAGGGAUGACGGCCUUCGGGUUGUAAACCUCUUUCGACAGGGACGAAGCGCAAGUGACGGUACCUGUAGAAGAAGCACCGGCCAACUACGUGCCAGCAGCCGCGGUAAUACGUAGGGUGCGAGCGUUGUCCGGAAUUACUGGGCGUAAAGAGCUUGUAGGCGGUUUGUCGCGUCGUCUGUGAAAACUCACAGCUCAACUGUGAGCUUGCAGGCGAUACGGGCAGACUUGAGUACUGCAGGGGAGACUGGAAUUCCUGGUGUAGCGGUGAAAUGCGCAGAUAUCAGGAGGAACACCGGUGGCGAAGGCGGGUCUCUGGGCAGUAACUGACGCUGAGAAGCGAAAGCGUGGGUAGCGAACAGGAUUAGAUACCCUGGUAGUCCACGCCGUAACGGUGGGUACUAGGUGUGGGUUUCCUUCCACGGGAUCCGUGCCGUAGCUNACGCAUUAAGUACCCCGCCUGGGGAGUACGGCCGCAAGGCU